UACGUAGGGUGCAAGCGUUAAUCGGAAUUACUGGGCGUAAAGCGUGCGCAGGCGGUUAUGUAAGACAGAUGUGAAAUCCCCGGGCUCAACCUGGGAACUGCAUUUGUGACUGCAUAGCUAGAGUACGGUAGAGGGGGAUGGAAUUCCGCGUGUAGCAGUGAAAUGCGUAGAUAUGCGGAGGAACACCGAUGGCGAAGGCAAUCCCCUGGACCUGUACUGACGCUCAUGCGACGAAAGCGUGGGGAGCAAACAGG
rnacentral:rRNA from 1 species